AGCUCUGCGCAGCGGCGAUAUCGUACCCAAUGAGGAACAUCCGAGGUGCGAUUAUUGCUAAUUGAAAAAACACAAAUGAUAGUUAGCGCUCAACUUCCGAGUUGAUCAGUCGAUUUUUUAGACGAGCAAAUUUCGGAAGUCGUUC